rnacentral:rRNA from 1 species
UACGGAGGGGGCUAGCGUUGUUCGGAAUUACUGGGCGUAAAGCGCACGUAGGCGGCUUUGUAAGUUAGAGGUGAAAGCCCAGGGCUUAACCCUGGAAUUGCCUUUAAGACUGCAUCGCUAGAAUCGUGGAGAGGUGAGUGGAAUUCCGAGUGUAGAGGUGAAAUUCGUAGAUAUUCGGAAGAACACCAGUGGCGAAGGCGGCUCACUGGACACGUAUUGACGCUGAGGUGCGAAAGCGUGGGGAGCAAACAGG